GCAAGAGAGACGGGGUCUGGAGUAGGACGUUCCUUUGGGGGAGGAGCACAAUGGUGGAGUAUCAGCAUGUGUGUGCCUGGGCCAGGGGUGGCUGCAAAUUUGCUGAUUGUUUCUUUGUAUCCUUGGGGGUGUGCCUGUUUGUCUCCUGCAUCCGGAGAGUUGAUUUGGGCUUUUGAGCUUGGCUGUUUGAAUCCUUGUCUUCACCCCUGUAGAUUGGCCUACAUUUGUGUUUACGUUUUCAUGGUUUAUUUUUGUUUCUGUAAAGUUAAUUCCUGGAGGAAUUACUAAGUAGGCCUGAUCUCACCUGGCUAAUGUCAAAGCCCGACCCCUUCUCUCGGCAGCUUGGGUCCUAGGCCGGCGCCACCAUGUCGCUGCCUCCACGCCCAGUUACCAUCCUACAUACACUGCUGCUCCUGCCAGCCCUUUUGAGCUCAGGUACUUGGCCCUUACCUGGGCAGCACCCCUCUUCAUCCCUUGGUCAAGCACUUUUGGGAUCAUGUCUCCUCCUCUCUCCUCCCUUCGUUUUGGGUUGGGGAGAGUUGGCGCCACAGAUCAAUGGUCAGACCUGGGCCAAGCUGGCACUUCGGGAGAAUGAACGCUAUCCCUUCACCUGCCGAGUGACAGGAGGGUCUGGCAUCCCCCAGUUGUCCUGGUACCUGGAUGGACAGCUGCAGGAGGCCAGCACCUCAAGGCUGCUGACUGUGGGUAGGGAGGCCUUCUCUGGAGGCACCAGCACCUUCACUGUCACAGCCCACCGGGCCCAGCAUGAGCUCAAUUGCUCCCUACAGGACCCCAGCAAUGGUCGGUCAGCCAACGCCUCCAUCAUCCUCAACGUGCAAUUUAAGCCGGAGAUUGCCCAGGUCGGUGCCAAGUACCAGGAAGCUCAGGGCCAGGGCCUCCUGGUGGUUCUUUUUGCCCUGGUACGUGCCAACCCACCUGCCAAUGUGACCUGGAUCGACCAGGAUGGGCUGGUGACUGUCAACACCUCAGACUUCCUGGUGCUGGAAGCCCAGAAUUACCACUGGCUCACCAACCACACUAUACAGCUGCAGCUUCGCAGCCUGGCAUACAACCUCUCUGUGGUAGCCACCAAUGAUGUGGGUGUCACCAGUGCUUCACUUCCGGCCCAAGGACUCCUGGCCACUCAGGUGGAAGUGCCACUGCUGGGCAUCAUUGUGGCUGGAGGGCUAUCCCUGGGCACCCUGGUGGCAUUCAGCACCUUGGUGGCCUGCCUGGUCUACAGGAAAGAAAAGAAGACCAAAGGCCCCUCCCGACGUGCAUCUCUGAUCUCUCGUGACUCCAACAACCUGAAAGUCAACAAUGUGCAUCUGCUGCGGGAGAACCUGUCCCUUCCAUGUAACCUUCAGCUCAAUGACCUCACUCCAGAUUCCAGAGCAGGGAAACCAGCAGACCAGCAGAUGGCUUGGAAAAACAGCCGACCAGAGCUUCCGGAUUCAGAGCCUGGUGGCCUCCUCACCAGCCAAGGUUUCAUCCGUCUACCAAUGCUGGGCUACAUCUAUCGAGUGUCCAGUGUGAGCAGCGAUGAGAUCUGGCUCUGAGCUAAGGGCAAGAUGGAGGGUGCCAUGGGCCCUGGGCACUCUUCCACUCCUCCGAGGCAUCCUCUGUCCUGCCAUGUUGCCAGUAAGAGGCCAGUUCCACUUUUGUUGCACCCCUAACUGGGGUGCCCUCUCUGUCAUCUAUGUGAUAGUUCUGUUGGGAUCUGACCCUCAGGGGCACAGCAGGAAGCCACUCUUCCCGUCCCACCCUCUGCUCUUCAGGGAAUGUUUAUAGUGGCACAUAAUUCAACAGUGCCAGAAGCUGUUGGAGGACAUGGAGCAAGAGGGACACCACACAACCCAAUACAGCCUUAGGACAUGUUACAAAGCAACAUGGAAAAGAUUGCAAAUUAAAUAUAUUCUCCCUUGUUACCUUGUUUUGUCAUUUUUCUCAUGUUACAGCCAGGCACAGUGCUGAGCACACAGUAAAUUCAAUAAACUUGACUGAAUGAAUGUUACAUGUCUUUCCUUCCUUCAAAUAGGUUUCUUAAUGAAAUCUUCAAGUCACACAGUAGAGAAAAUAUAGCAAAUACCUGUGUGCCCACUACUCAACUCUUGAAACUUAACACUCUGUUUGCUUCAGAUCUUUUGGGGUUUUUAAAAGAUAUUUCUCUAAACACCAGUGGCAGGGCUGGCAUUUUCUAUUUCCGGAGUGCCAGGUGGGGAUCAUAGCUAUACCCAGUGACUGCGUCUCCUUUGGUCACUAUCACUUGGGAGAGUCUUCCCUCCUCAGGACUGUAGCUAAGCAACAGUGAACCCCUUUUCCCUGACCAGAGGUACAGAAGGUUCAGACUAGGUUGUGGUUUUCCCAAAAAAAAAAAAAAAAGAGGGGGGGAGGUCAUGAGGGGAAAAAAAGACUGGAAAUGGGCCUAGUUAUGGGAGACAGAUUUGUAGUCUACCUUUUUUAGUGACAGCCUUGGCUUGCAGAACCAUGGCCUUUGCUCACCUCUCUCAUUCAGUCUUUUCCUGCAUGGGACCAGCGAAUGCUGCCCACCCUCCUGAGAGGAAUUUAGUUCCCACCUCUUUUGGUAUUGCUUGUAAGCUCCUUCAUGGUUUCAGAGUGUUUAGGAGCCAGGAUACCCUGCAGUCAAUCCUGUUGACCCUCAUCCACUGUCCCCUUCCUUCAUGGUUCUUUGGCAAGGCUGGAAGCCCAGGUCUUACUUUAGCAGAAAGGUUUGCUCUUCCUGGCAAAUCUGCUAUCCUUGCAAGUGUUUGCUAAGGGGUAGACUUUCAAAUUAGUGUCCCAAUUCUCCAUGCACAUCCCUUAGCUUAGAAAUUUCUUGCACCAUUGUUGAGUAACUCUUUGAAGGAUUUGAAGAAAGUUCACUCUUAUGAGAAAAUGCAGAUU